rnacentral:rRNA from 1 species
CCAGACUCCUACGGGAGGCAGCAGUGGGGAAUAUUGCACAAUGGGCGAAAGCCUGAUGCAGCAACGCCGCGUGAAGGAAGAAGGCCUUCGGGUCGUAAACUUCUGUCCUUGGGGAAGAAGAACUGACGGUACCCAAGGAGGAAGCCCCGGCUAAAUACGUGCCAGCAGCCGCGGUAAUACGUAUGGUGCAAGCGUUAUCCGGAUUUACUGGGUGUAAAGGGAGCGCAGGCGGCACGGCAAGCCUGAUGUGAAAGCCCGCGGCCCAACCGCGGGACUGCAUUGGGAACUACCGGGCUGGAGUGCCGGAGAGGUAGGCGGAAUUCCUAGUGUAGCGGUGAAAUGCGUAGAUAUUAGGAGGAACACCAGUGGCGAAGGCGGCCUACUGGACGGCGACUGACGCUGAGGCUCGAAAGCGUGGGGAGCAAACAGGAUUAGAUACCCGUGUAG